GGGUGGGGACGUGGUUCUCAGAGGCCAGGGUGCUUGUAGGCUGGAAAAUUGGAUGGAGGGCAUAACAGACACUGAGCUUUGGGUCUAACAGUUGGAGGCUCUGUGAGAUCAAGACCCCCAGCCCAAAUUCAGCAAUUCAGAAGCCAGACCCUUCCUCUGGCCCUCUGAGACUGAAGCUAUGCUCUGUCAGUGGUACUCACUGGAGAUAUUCCCAGGCCCCCAAGGCACACCUUUACUUUAGUCAACUGCCUUAGCUGAUGGUGGCAACAAAAAAAGAACAACAACAAAAAAAAAUAAAAGCAAACAAACCAAGCACCAGUCUAUGGAAGCUUCUUUCUUGAAAACCCCCUAGCCUUGCAGCUUUGGGGCUAAUAUGAACUCUACUUUCUCCUGGAUCCAAGGCUGUUCUUUCAAAUGCUGCUUGAGAGAGACAAUCCUGUCUGACAGAAAAUAAAUCUUGCUUAAUUUGACUAAAA